rnacentral:rRNA from 1 species
UACGGAGGGUGCAAGCGUUAUCCGGAUUCACUGGGUUUAAAGGGUGCGUAGGCGGGCAGGUAAGUCAGUGGUGAAAUCUCCGAGCUUAACUCGGAAACUGCCGUUGAUACUAUUUGUCUUGAAUUUUGUUGAGGUAGGCGGAAUAAGUCAUGUAGCGGUGAAAUGCAUAGAUAUGACUUAGAACACCAAUUGCGAAGGCAGCUUGCUAAACAAAUAUUGACGCUGAGGCACGAAAGCGUGGGGAUCAAACAGG